rnacentral:rRNA from 1 species
AAGGCGAGGCUGAAAAGCGUAGUCGAUGGAAAACAGGUUAAUAUUCCUGUACUUCUGGUUAUUGCGAUGGAGGGACGGAGAAGGCUAGGCCAGCUUGGCGUUGGUUGUCCAAGUUUAAGGUGGUAGGCUGAAAUCUUAGGUAAAUCCGGGGUUUCAAGGCCGAGAGCUGAUGACGAGUUACCCUCUGGGUGACGAAGUGGUUGAUGCCAUGCUUCCAAGAAAAGCUUCUAAGCUUCAGAUAACCAGGAACCGUACCCCAAACCGACACAGGUGGUUGGGUAGAGAAUACCAAGGCGCUUGAGAGAACUCGGGUGAAGGAACUAGGCAAAAUG